UACAGAGGAUGCAAGCGUUAUCCGGAAUGAUUGGGCGUAAAGCGUCUGUAGGUGGCUUUUUAAGUCCGCCGUCAAAUCCCAGGGCUCAACUCUGGACAGGCGGUGGAAACUACCAAGCUGGAGUACGGUAGGGGCAGAGGGAAUUUCCGGUGGAGCGGUGAAAUGCGUAGAGAUCGGAAAGAACACCAACGGCGAAAGCAGCCCCCUGGGAUAACACUGACGCUCAUGCACGAAAGCGUGGGGAGCAAACAGG
rnacentral:rRNA from 1 species